CCUUAAAGGAAAGAAAUUGUAUAGAUAGAUGUCAUUUUUUAAAUGUACGCUAUUUAUGCUUCUUAUAAAUCUACUAACUCCGGAUCCAGGCUAAGUUCACCAUCGGCGGCCUCGAUGAUGUUCCACUCACUUACGUUCAAGUUUAAAAUGUAGUACCGCUGCGUCUUCGCUUGUUUGCGCUUCAUACAGCAGUCGCUGAUUACAUGAAACAAAAAGACAAGGAUAAGAAAACGAAGAUUCGCAGUAUGUCAUCGUGAAAUUGAAAACACUCAAUAAUAUAACUUCAUCUGUGGCUAUUAGGCAUCGCUGAUGCUCGCUCGAGUGGGAGUGUCUGUUUCAAAUCGUCUAGUUGUGGGAAAACCACCAACAAACAUCCAAAAAAUAUUUCAAGUUCAAAAUCGUGAUCGCGACUACAGCGCGCUGAAUUAAAUUGUAGUUAUACCGAUUAAAUGUCUUGGAAACUGGCAAAUUUUGCAUUAGGGAGCGGUGUAAGAUAUGUUACUUCUUAAAUUUUAGAUCACGCCCACUUCGUUUACCUUGUAUGAUUUUAUCGGUGGAUUGAGUCUAUACAACGAAAAAACAAACCCGUCUUGACAUAUGAAUGAAAGAGACCGUCCAUAAUACCUGCUCACAGCGGAGACGGAACAAAAUACAAAUGGCUUUCUCGAACGAAACGCGAAGAAUUCAUUUAACGAUGCAAUAUCAAGGCACUGGUGGAGUCAUUUCCAUCAAACAGAUCAAUUACCAGCUGCUGUAUCUAAAUUGUUACAGAAUGAAGUAGCUAAAGUUGUUGAAAACCUUUUAAUAUUGUAGUACUCCCAAUAGCAGGUGGUCGGAUUCUCUAUAAUUAAUAGCCGCUUUAGUGAGAGA